UACGGGGGGGGGGCAAGCGUUGUUCGGAAUUACUGGGCGUAAAGGGCUCGUAGGUGGCCAACUAAGUCAGACGUGAAAUCCCUCAGCUUAACUGGGGAACUGCGUCUGAUACUGGAUGGCUUGAGUUCGGGAGAGGUGAGUGGAACUGCGAGUGUAGAGGUGAAAUUCGUAGAUAUUCGCAAGAACACCAGUGGCGAAGGCGGCUCACUGGCCCGGUACUGACGCUGAGGUGCGAAAGCGUGGGGAGCAAACAGGG
rnacentral:rRNA from 1 species